UACGUAGGGGGCAAGCGUUGUCCGGAAUCAUUGGGCGUAAAGAGCGUGUAGGCGGCUCGGUAAGUCCGCUGUGAAAGUCCAGGGCUCAACCCUGGAAUGCCGGUGGAAACUGUCGAGCUAGAGUCCGGAAGAGGCGAGUGGAAUUCCUGGUGUAGCGGUGAAAUGCGCAGAUAUUGGGAAGAACACCGGUGGCGAAGGCGGCUCACUGGCUCGUAACUGACGCUCAUGCACGACAGCGUGGGGAUCAAACAGG
rnacentral:rRNA from 1 species